rnacentral:rRNA from 1 species
UACGUAGGGGGCAAGCGUUGUCCGGAAUCAUUGGGCGUAAAGAGCGUGUAGGCGGCCCGGUAAGUCCGCUGUGAAAGUCGAGGGCUCAACCCUCGAAUGCCGGCGGAUACUGUCGGGCUAGAGUCCGGAAGAGGCGAGUGGAAUUCCUGGUGUAGCGGUGAAAUGCGCAGAUAUCAGGAGGAACACCAAUGGCGAAGGCAGCUCGCUGGGACGUGACUGACGCUGAGACGCGAAAGCGUGGGGAGCAAACAGG